UGAAUCUGGUGAUUGAUCGCUGCGGUUUCAUUAUCGUAGAGGAAAGUCCGGGCUUCGUGUGGGCAAGGUGCCGGAUAACGUCCGGCGUCGAGAGCCGAAAGACUCUCGGUAGGGAAAGUGCAACAGAAAAUAUACCGCCUCAAUUCCUAGGGACGGAGGCAAGGGUGAAAAGGCGACGGUAAGAGCGCACCGCAUGUUUGGCAACAAAGAUGGCAUUGCAAACCCCACCUGAAGCAAGACCAAAUAGAGGUGGCAUGAAUUUUAUUCGUGGCGCGCCCAUGGCCAUCGUCACCUGGGUAGGUCGCUCGAGCUUAUCGGUAACGGUAAGCCUAGAUGAAUGAUCAAUCAGGAGGUAAUCCUCCGGACAGAACCCGGCUUAUAGCCAGUUUCACACG
rnacentral:RNase_P_RNA from 1 species